rnacentral:rRNA from 1 species
GGGGGCGGGGCGGCGGGGGUCUGGGGACCCUCCGCGCAGGUAGGCAAGCGUAUUAACAGGGGUGACGCGCAGUGGUGGCCCCGCGGGUCUGAUGGCUCGGCCCGUUCAAGCGCGCGGCCCGCCGCCCAGGCAAAUCCGGGCGGCUGCCUUCGAUGGCGGGGGUGAGGCGCGAUGGUGACCCGGCCCGGUGGGGUCGGGGAAGUAGGGUGAUCCUGUGGCGCCGAGAAAAGCCUCGACGCGAGGGGCCGGUCCGCCCGUACCCCAAACCGACACAGGUGGUCGGGCAGAGCAUGCCCAGGCGCACGGGCGAACCGUGGUGAAGGAACUCGGCAAAACGCCCCCGUAACUUCGGGAGAAGGGGGGCCCGAACCCUGAGGCCCCGAGCGGGCUGGGGGUGAGGGUCGCAGAGGCCAGGGGGGAGCGACUGUUUACUAAAAACACAGGUCCGUGCGAAGCCGCAAGGCGAUGUAUACGGACUGACGCCUGCCCGGUGCUGGAAGGUCAAGAGGACCCGUCAGCCCCCCUUGCGGGGGUGAAGCGGUGAAUUCAAGCCCCAGUGAACGGCGGUGGUAACUAUAACCAUCCUAAGGUAGCGAAAUUCCUUGUCGGGUAAGUUCCGACCUGCACGAAUGGCGUAACGACUUCCCUGCUGUCUCAACCACAGGCCCGGUGAAAUUGCAGUACGAGUAAAGAUGCUCGUUUCGCGCGGCAGGACGAAAAGACCCCGGGACCUUUACUAUAGCUUGGUAUUGGUGUUUGGUCAUGCUUGUGUAGGAUAGGUGGGAGACUGUGAAGCCGUAACGCUAGUUGUGGUGGAGUCGCAGGUGAAAUACCACUCUGGUGUGAUUGGGUACCUGAACCUUGGCCCGUGAUCCGGGUUGGGGACAGUGCCUGGUGGGUAGUUUAACUGGGGCGGUUGCCUCCUAAAUGGUAACGGAGGCGCCCAAAGGUUUCCUCAGUCUGGUUGGCAAUCAGAUGGUGAGUGUAAGUGUAUAAGGGAGCUUGACUGUGACACUGACGGGUGGAGCAGGUGCGAAAGCAGGGACUAGUGAUCCGGCAUCGACGUGUGGUUGUGGUGUCGCUCAACGGAUAAAAGGUACCCCGGGGAUAACAGGCUGAUCUUCCCCAAGAGUUCAUAUCGACGGGAUGGUUUGGCACCUCGAUGUCGGCUCGUCGCAUCCUGGGGCUGGAGUAGGUCCCAAGGGUUGGGCUGUUCGCCCAUUAAAGCGGCACGCGAGCUGGGUUUAGAACGUCGUGAGACAGUUCGGUCUCUAUCCGCCGCGCGCGUUGAAACUUGAAGAAGGCUGUCCCUAGUACGAGAGGACCGGGAUGGACGUACCUCUGGUAUGCCAGUUGUCACGCCAGUGGCAUGGCUGGUUAGCUACGUGCGGGAGGGAUAACCGCUGAAAGCAUCUAAGCGGGAAGCCUGUUUUGAGAUGAGGUUUCUGUUGAGGUUCCCUGAAGAUGAUGGGGUUGAUAGGCCAGGGCUGUGAGCAUGGUGACGUGUUGGAGGUGACUGGUACUAAUACACCGACACAAAAAAACA